GACACUUAGGACUGAAUAAUUCACUGUCUGUCUUUACUUUCAGAACAUUUGGAGAAGAUCAAGCGGCUGACUGAAUGUCGUGCUGAGGGAACAGCAGCCUCUACAAUCAGCUUCAGAUCAACAGCUGACUGAAGAGAUUGUGGAGCUGAGGGCACAGUUGGUUCUACAGUCAGGUCCAUGUCAUUCAAGUCACUUGCGCCACAUCGGCACAAUGAGUGAAGAACUGCGCGAGCUGUCGAACAAGAUGGCCACAGUGCUAGCUUGUGUCCAAGCAAAUGGCUCGGUGGGGGAGUUGUCGUUCCCCAAUGUUCAGGGUAUUCAGCUCCCCCUGGACAACCUGGAAGACCUGCAGUAGUUUGAUUCACAGUUGAGGCAAGACAAAGAUUUUCAGGAAGGACUGGUUUUCUGUUUGGUUGUUAAGGCUGGCAGGGAGCUGAAGUACACUCUGUGGCGGAUGCUACCGUGCAUCAUUACAGCCAGGAUCACAGUCACCAAGAAAACAAUUGGUAACACAAUACACCAUGAAGGACUGAAAUCCUGCAGCGUCCACAAGG